AUUGAACGCUGGCGGCAGGCCUAACACAUGCAAGUCGAACGAGUGGCGGACGGGUGAGUAAUGUCUGGGAAACUGCCUGAUGGAGGGGGAUAACUACUGGAAACGGUAGCUAAUACCGCAUACCAUCAGAUGUGCCCAGAUGUGAUUUGCUAGUGGGUGGGGUAACGUGUAACCAAGGCGACGACCCCUAGACGGUCUGAGAGGAUGACCGGCCAAACUGUACUUGAGACACGGUCCAGACUCCGACGGGAGGCAGCAGUGGGGAAUAGUGCACAAUGGGCGCAAGCCUGAUGCAGCCAUGCGGCGUGUAUGAAGAAGGCCUUCGGGUUGUAAAGUACUUGCAGCGGGGAGGCGUUACCCGCAGAAGAAGCACCGGCUAACUCCGUGCCAGCAGCCGCGGUAAUAC
rnacentral:rRNA from 1 species